rnacentral:rRNA from 1 species
UACGUAGGUGGCUAGCGUGUCCGGAUUUACUGGGCGUAAAGAGCGCGCAGGCGGUCGAGUAAGUCGAAUGUGAAAGCCCCCGGCUUAACUGGGGAGGGUCAUUCGAUACUGUUCGACUUGAAGGCAGGAGAGGGCAGCAGAAUUCCCGGUGUAGUGGUGAAAUGCGUAGAUAUCGGGAGGAAUACCAGUGGCGAAGGCGGCUGCCUGGCCUGUUCUUGACGCUGAGGCGCGAAAGCUGGGGGAGCAAACGGG